rnacentral:rRNA from 1 species
GCGUGGGUGAUGAAGCACUGAGGUGUGUAAAACCCUGUUAGGAGGGAAGAAUAUCCCGACUUGUCGGGACUGACGGUACCUCCAGAGAAAGCUCCGGCUAACUCCGUGCCAGCAGCCGCGGUAACACGGGGGGAGCAAGCGUUGUCCGGAUUUACUGGGCGUAAAGGGCGUGUAGGCGGGAUGGUAAGUCAGUGGUGAAAUCUUGCGGCUUAACCGUAUAAUGUGCUGCUGAUACUGCCAUUCUUGAGUACGGAAGAGGGAAGUGGAAUUCCUGGUGUAGCGGUGAAAUGCGU